UACGUAGGCAGCGAGCGUUGUUCGGAGUUACUGGGCGUAAAGGGUGUGUAGGCGGUUGUUUAAGUUUGGUGUGAAAUCUCCCGGCUCAACUGGGAGGGUGCGCCGAAUACUGAAUGACUUGGAGUGCGGGAGAGGAAAGUGGAAUUCCUGGUGUAGCGGUGAAAUGCGUAGAUAUCAGGAGGAACACCGGUGGUGUAGACGGCUUCUGGACCGUAACUGACGCUGAGACACGAAAGCGUGGGUAGCAACAGG
rnacentral:rRNA from 1 species